UGAGGAAUAUUGGUCAAUGGACGCAAGUCUGAACCAGCCAUGCCGCGUGAAGGAUGAAGGCCUUCUGGGUUGUAAACUUCUUUUAUAUGGGACGAAACCCGGGAAUUCUUUCCCGAUUGACGGUACCAUAAGAAUAAGCACCGGCUAACUCCGUGCCAGCAGCCGCGGUAAUACGGAGGGUGCAAGCGUUAUCCGGAUUCACUGGGUUUAAAGGGUGCGUAGGAGGGUAGGUAAGUCAGUGGUGAAAUCUUCGAGCUUAACUCGGAAACUGCCGUUGAUACUAUCUAUCUGGAAUACCGUGGAGGUGAGCGGAAUAUGUCAUGUAGCGGUGAAAUGCUUAGAUAUGACAUAGAACACCAAUUGCGAAGGCAGCUCGCUACACGAAUAUUGACUCUGAGGCACGAAAGCGUGGGGAUCAAACA
rnacentral:rRNA from 1 species